CCCUAGUCACCCAUAUUACCUUUUUGUUUUACUUUAUUUUGUGCGUGGGCAGAUGAAGGCCCUGUGGGACAUGUCAUCUGCUCACACUAGCUAACUCUGUAUAAUUCCCCGUGCAUGCCCAGGUAAACACUUGGGCAUUCGUUAUUGUUCGAAAUUCAGACGGGAAUUUCAUCUAUUCAUUCAUCAGAAAGACGAAUAAAUGAAUAGAAAUGUUAAAUGAAC